AUGCCAGGAGUAGUAUAUGGUAAGGAUGAAAAAGAAAACAUUAAGCAAAGACUUUGGCUGGUCAAGUCAAGCAAAAUAUUGAUACUCCUACUACUACUAGUAGUACUAGACAACAGUGUGCCUCCAGAGCCAUUCGAGCAUCCACUUAUUACACCAACAACUCACUCUCACUCCACUGCUCCCCGGGCGGCGCUCCCUUGCUCUGCUCUGCUCUCCACUCCCCGGCAACUGCAAGCCCUGUUGCUCCUCAUCUCCGCCUCGCCGGCCGGCAGCGCAGCGCAGCCCCCGCCGCCUCCCCCCACUCUCCCGUCAGCACGAUCCACGGCUCCCGGAUCUGAAGCAGCCGCACCGUGCUGCCGCCGCCCACAGCAACAGGUGGCAGCUAGCUAG
rnacentral:rRNA from 1 species